UACGUAGGGUGCAAGCGUUAAUCGGAAUUACUGGGCGUAAAGCGUGCGCAGGCGGCUUUGCAAGACAGAUGUGAAAUCCCCGGGCUUAACCUGGGAACUGCAUUUGUGACUGCAUGGCUGGAGUGCGGCAGAGGGGGAUGGAGUUCCGCGUGUAGCAGUGAAAUGCGUAGAUAUGCGGAGGAACACCGAUGGCGAAGGCAAUCCCCUGGGCCUGCACUGACGCUCAUGCACGAAAGCGUGGGGAGCAAACAGG
rnacentral:rRNA from 1 species